ensembl:lncRNA
UCUAUUCUCCACUGUAGCAUGUCAUUUUGCCUUCUCCCUUAGUCUCUUUUUUGUUCUGUCUCCUCAUGCUCGCUUUUUACUUUUUUAUUUUCGUCUUUUCUCGUUCAUCCGACCCCCAACGAGUCACAGAAGCCCCUCUCCAAGCCUUGGGGUCACAGAAAACUGGGAGCUAUCUCAUAUUUAUAUGGGGAGAUAACCUCACAUCUGGUGUGGCCUGAGAUUCCCAGAGAGGUAGAGGCUAAGACCCAACCUGACACAUAAACAUAGACAAACAGGCAAACACAGACACAAACAUGCAUUCCCACCCUCAUGCACAUAUAUACAUAUACUCAGCACUCACUCAACAUGGAGACAAACAGAAAUGAACACUGUACACACCAGAGGUGGGACCAAGUCAUUGUUUUGCAAGUCUCAAGUAAGUCUCAAGUCUUUAUCCUCAAGUCUCAAGUCAAGUCUCAAGUAAUGUCAGGCAAGUCAGAGUCGAGUCUCAAGUCACUGGUGUAAAAGUCCGAGUCAAGUCACAAGUCUGAAACUUUGAAUUUCAAGUCCUUUUGAGUCUUUAAAAAAAAAAAAACGAAAAAAUAAUGUUGCUGUUAUGCUAAAUGUAAAUAUUAGACCAUGUAAUUUUAAAAUCUGUGUUUUUCUCAACACAUGACAAAAUAGUGAACUUAGAAAAUAUACACAAAUUGUGAAAUUGCACCUCUUUAAAAUGCAGCUCAAUUAAACCUAGCUCCAAGAAUAAUUUUCACCGACAGUUCUGAGAUAAGCUGCAUGUUAUUCUUGGAUGCGGUUGUAGGACCGGCUUUAAAAUCGCAUGACAAAAAUAUCAUACACAUUAAAAAAAAACUGCAUCACCAACGUAGCCUGGACAACAUUUGCUAGUUAGAUGAAGUCAGCUAUCUCAUUGUAACAAGUGUCACCUGGCAGUUUGUUGCUCUCUGCCAGGUGAUUGGCUGAAGAGCUGUGAAAAGGUAGUGGGUGUGUGGGGUGAAGUCAGCGCUCUUCUGUGGAAAAAACCAGAGGCAAUUAAUUCACUCAGGUGCGAGUGGGUAUACUGUCGUGUGACCACGAAUUUUAAUAGAAGAAUUGAUCAAGCCCUAGAUCGACUGCGCGCAGGGAAACUGAUCAAUAUUCUGUGCUGUCUCUGCUGUCCUUUUUUUUUGUUGUUCUUUUGAUUGAUUUGUAAUUUUGUUUUGGUUAGUCCGUCCAGCCGUAGAGGCGGUUAUUGAUUGAGAAUCACAGGCCAUACAUAGCACUGAUUCCCAGCUGCGCUGAGACCCGAAUUGUUUGCAGUGUGUGCCACGAUUGCAGUGUCGCUAAGCGGGGUGUGACGGGUUGCAGUGUUAUUUCGCACAGUUUGUGUGGUAAGUCUCAUGUGCAGCUGGGAUAUCAGCAGGAUGUGUUGUAAGUCCUGUCUGGAAACGAC